GACGAACGCUGGCGGCGUGCCUAAUACAUGCAAGUCGAGCGGAUCUCUUCGGAGAUCAGCGGCGGACGGGUGAGUAACACGUGGGCAACCUGCCUAUAAGACUGGGAUAACUCCGGGAAACCGGAGCUAAUACCGGAUACUAUGUCAAACCGCAUGGUUUGACAUUCAAAGACGGUUUCGGCUGGCACUUACGGAUGGGCCCGCGGCGCAUUAGCUAGUUGGUGAGGUAACGGCUCACCAAGGCGACGAUGCGUAGCCGACCUGAGAGGGUGAUCGGCCACACUGGGACUGAGACACGGCCCAGACUCCUACGGGAGGCAGCAGUAGGGAAUCUUCCGCAAUGGACGAAAGUCUGACGGAGCAACGCCGCGUGAGUGAUGAAGGUUUUCGGAUCGUAAAACUCUGUUGUCAGGGAAGAACAAGUGCCGGAGUAACUGCCGGCGCCUUGACGGUACCUGACCAGAAAGCCACGGCUAACUACGUGCCAGCCGCCGCGGUAA
rnacentral:rRNA from 1 species